rnacentral:rRNA from 1 species
GGGGAAUAUUGCGCAAUGGGGGCAACCCUGACGCAGCCAUGCCGCGUGAAUGAAGAAGGCCUUCGGGUUGUAAAGUUCUUUCGGUAGCGAGGAAGGCAUUUAGUUUAAUAGACUAGGUGAUUGACGUUAACUACAGAAGAAGCACCGGCUAACUCCGUGCCAGCAGCCGCGGUAAUACGGAGGGUGCGAGCGUUAAUCGGAAUAACUGGGCGUAAAGGGCACGCAGGCGGUGACUUAAGUGAGGUGUGAAAGCCCCGGGCUUAACCUGGGAAUUGCAUUUCAUACUGGGUCGCUAGAGUACUUUAGGGAGGGGUAGAAUUCCACGUGUAGCGGUGAAAUGCGUAGAGAUGUGGAGGAAUACCGAAGGCGAAGGCAGCCCCUUGGGAAUGUACUGACGCUCAUGUGCGAAAGCGUGGGGAGCAAACAGGAUUAGAUACCCUGGUAGUCCACGCUGUAAACGAUGUCGAUUUGGGGGUUGAACUUUGUGUUUGGCGCCCGUAGCUAACGUGAUAAAUCGACCGCCUGGGGAGUACGGCCGCAAGGUUA